rnacentral:rRNA from 1 species
AUGGGGCGCGCGCCGUGCUGCGACAAGGCGAGCGUGAAGAGGGGCCCGUGGGCGCCGGAGGAGGACGAGCUGCUGCGGAGCUACGUCCGGAGCCACGGCGCCGUCGGCAACUGGAUCGCGCUCCCGCAGAAAGCAGGGCUUAACCGGUGCGGCAAGAGCUGCCGGCUGAGGUGGCUCAACUACCUCCGGCCGGACAUCAAGCACGGCGGCUACACCGAGCAGGAGGACAUGGUCAUCUGCUCCCUCUACAACUCCAUCGGAAGCAGGUAA